GAGCUUCUGCCUCCCCAGGCCACUUAGGACUGGCGCUCCAUUUAAAGGGAAAAGUCCCCGUCCAUAGGGCUGGUGAGAAUGCUGGCUCUAGGGCUUCUUGAUGAAGGGCAGGAGCGGGGAUGCAACACAGAUGCUCUUGGCUCCAAGGCAGGUGGGGUCCCUCUGGCCCUGCACCUGCUGGUGAACCCAUUCUGGGGGCGGCCUGAGCCAGCAGCCCAGGGCUGGGCACGUGGAGAGAUGCCCAGGCAAGGCUUCUGUUCCCACUAGGCUUUCAUAUGCACGUCCAGCCCUCACACUGCCAGGGGAGGAGGAACCGAUGCCAGCACACAGGAGGGAAGACGUUCAGCUCAGGGUCCCCUGCUUUCCACCCCAACCUCACGCGCUCAUUCUAUAGAGGCAGUGGCUCAGAUUCCCCAGCCCCUGGGGGCAGCCCUCCACCCUAAGAGAAACCGAGACAUGGAUGAGUCAGGACAUGCCUUCCCUGCCGACUCGCCCGGCCUGCUCGGGAUCAGAAUCAGCCAACACCCAUUCCCAACACACUGGUUACACCAUCCACUCGCCACCCUCGAGCUGGGACCCACCCAGCUCUGCCUUUAAGGGUGGCGCUCGGCUUGCUGUUCUGCGGAGGCCCACACCCUCUCUGUGGCUUUAUCCUCUACUUUAACCCUCCCACAGAAGCACAGACAGAUUAUCCCGGCCCCUGGGAAGCACCUCCAGUUCUCAGGCAUCGGGGGAAGCCAGCCGCCAUAUCCGGGCUCCACUCAAGCAGCCCUGUGAAAAGCCCAAUGGCAAGGAACUGAGGCCUCCAGUCGCCAGCAGUGUGAGUGAGCCUGGUUGCUAUUGGAUCCCCCAGCCCUGAUGGAGCCUUCAGAUGACUGUAGCCCUGGCCAACAGCUUGAGCACAACCUCACGAGAGACUCCGAGCUAGAACCACCGAACUAAGCUGCUCCCAGAUUCCUGACCCACAGAAACUGUGAGAUAGUAAAUGUUUAUUUUAAACCACUAAGUUUUGGGGUGCUUUGUAACGCAGCAUUAGAUAAUGAAUAUAAGCACUGUCGUCACAGGUUCCAAUCCCAGCUCUACUUGGCAGUUCUGUGCCCUUAGCCAAGGCAUCUAACCCUUGAGGACCACUAGCUGCCUCCAACAGUAGAGGAAGCCACUGCUUGAUCCUACAUCCCUGGAAAGAACACCAACCUAGAGUCAGAUCCAGCGACUAGGGGGCCUCCCCAGAGGCCAGCCAGUUCCCUUGGGGGAAGAAACUAGAUCACAUUUCCUUCCAAACAUCUUCCGUCUUACACCUGACACAGGCUUUCAAACUCAAAAGUCAAGGUUUUGUCAACUUUAUUCUCUGCAAGGCAAUGGGCCCUGAUUCCAGCGGCCUGAGCACGAGGAAGGCCCUUAGGGUAAGUGAGGAAACUCAAGUUCAUGCAGAUCUCCCCCAGGCCUUUUACCAGCUCUGGGCGUCCUUCCCCUGGCUUCUGCAUGCUUUGCUGCUUAGGGCUGACCCCUGUGACUCUGACCCUUACGGAGAGCUGGAAGUGCCCGGGAGCUCUCCAUCCCCUACCCGACUCCAGCAGCCUGUGGCCAAUAACUGACUGAUGUGGAGGAGAAACAGCAGCUCCUUUGCCUGCAGGUGAGCCAAGCCCAGAGCUCCUCACAGGCUCAGGCCGAGGCUGCCACUUCACCCGAAACCUCCUCUGGGGGGCUUCUUCUCCUCCCUCUCCUGCUUUCCCCACUCCCCUCUAGGUUCUCCUGGACACACUGCCUUAAUAAAUUCCUGGCGCCCAAAUCCUUGGCUCAGGUUCUGGAAGAAUCUGACCUGAGAUUGCAGAAGGAUCUGACCUGGUCAGCACCUCCCAAGAGUCAGGCCAGCAGUUACCGUUAUUGGACACGUGCUUAUGUGUUGGGCUGCGCCCCCUACAUUUACAGCCAGAUGUCAACAGGAUUAUUUUGGGUGCCAACUCACAUCUGGAGAAACUGAGCAUUCAGGAAGUCAGGAGACGGGCCCAAGCCCUGCAGACGGCACAGGCAGAUGCUGGCACUGUCUCAGAUCUGUUCCUCCAAAGCCACACUUGUGGUUGCACCUCUCUGCCUCCCCGGUCUAGGCUGGUUGGGAAGUGUUUCUACUUGUUUGUUUUUUUAACCCAGAAACACAGACGCACUUAUCAGGUUACCGCUAGAACCACAUACGUGCCGGAGAAGAGGCAGCCCUGGAAGCUCAGCCGUUAACGGCAGUACCAGGAUUCCAACCCGCGUGCUUGGUUCUGUCCCGGACACAGGGCCGGAGGCAAUGCUGCUGCCUGCUCCCUUGGCAAUGAAGCCUGGUGUUAUCUGCAGCUGGGGUGAUGGUGGACACUCGAACACUGUUCCCCAAGGCCUGGCAGGGUGAAGAAGUGCACUUUCAGAUGAACCCCAAGUUCCAGCUUCAGACUCCCUGGGGAGAUGUUCUCAGCUGGAGGCAGUGCCCUAAGCAUCACUGGAAACAUCUCGGGGGGUGAGCUGGGCCUUCCCCAGGCAAUCCUGGUCUGCCCCUCGUCUCAUCUCCAUGAGCUCUCUCACGUUGUGCUCCAGCUACCCUGAACACACAGAGCCGCUGCAUCCCUCCGGGCCUUUGCGUGGGCUGUUCCCCUUGCCUGCGGCACCCCCUCCAUGCUUCACUCUGUAAAGAUCUCCUAAAAUGUUGAUUACAUGGAUGGCAGUGUGGUCUAGUGGUUAAGGGCUUGGGAUCAGGCUCGAAAUCCUGUGGCCUGGGCUCUGUUCCAGGCUCCGCUGCUGAACAAACGUGUGAAUGUGGGCAAGUUAUUCAACGUACAUAUGGCUCUUGUCAUACAGUUCUCCGGGCCAGCACUGCUCUGGAGCAGAUGGGGUGUAGACAGGGCACUCGAGACACAGGGUAUACUUUUAGUGUUUAAUUUUAAUUGAUAUGGAUUGACCUGCUUGUCCCUCACCUGGAGUGGUAGGAUGCACUUUGCCAGACAAAGGGACAACAUAGUCUUGGAGGUAACGAUUCAGACCGCCUCCACCUGAGACCCUCUUCCCCAGGAGUGUUGGGUUCAAAUCCCAGCUCCUCCUUUUCUGGCUAAAUGACUUUGGGCAAGUAUCUGAUCUACUUCCCAAGGGUGUUGGAAGGACCGAUAAGUGCUUUGGACAGCGUAAAGGACGUGCCACUAAAUUGGGAGAUGUUAGGGCCAAACAGGGGCUUCCUGGAGAUGAAAAGAGGCAAAGUGUAGCUUUCUAAUGGUGAAAUUUCAAGCACAUGCAGGCCAGAAGGGGCGCUGCAUUUAGAAGCUGGGGACCUGUGAGUCCCAGCAGGCCCGGCUGUGACGGUCUCACAUAAAGCUGAUUUGGGGCUCAGGUAAAGCUCCAUCAGUCCCAAUGGCAGGGAAGCUCCCAGCAGUUGGGCAUUGAGAGGGAAGAGUUCUUGGCAAAAUAAAGCUUCCAUUCAGGAAAAGCUGUGUGUGGAACUAUGCCAGGCGCUCACAUGGUUUAUAGUGGCUCGUUUGCAUGAUGACAGCUCUGCAAGGCAGAUGUCAUUAUACCCGACUUAUAAGUGAGCAAAUUGAAGCUCAGAGGGGUGGCAACCUGCCCAAAGAUACACAGUUCAUUAAUGGCAGUGCCAGGAUGCUAACCCAGGGUGGCUGAUUCCAACGUGACAAGUAACGGUCACUGAUUGCAUGUUACAAAUCAUCCUCUCCUAUGUUUUCUUGCUUGACCUUAAUAUCAACCUCUGAGGUAACAAAUGAAUGCCUGGCCCAGGUCUGGCUCACAGUGGGUCCUUGUGGUCCAUCCUUGGAGCUGAUUGGUGGUCAUUUCUCCAGUCCCCAAACAUAUAAUGCGAAUGGAUAUACAUUUACUUGGGAGUAAAAUCCUCGUUGGAUCCUCAGCCUGUGGGGUGGGAGCUGCCAUGGUGGAAAUGGCCAAACAGAAGGCCCUGAAACUACUCCCACCUGUAUCACAUCGCUAGGAGAAUGGCAGAGACUAGGGCCACUCUUAACACCCUAAAAGAUGCAAGGAUGGUAGUCCCCUACAAAAGGCAGAGGGGUCCUGGAAGAAGACAGUGAACCACCUCAAACUUCACCAAGUAGUAGCCUGAUGGCUGUUGCCAAAUGCCCUAUCUUUGCUCGAGCAGAUUAACAAGACCUCAUAUAUGUGGUAGAUAGCCGUUAAGCUGGCAAAUGCAGUUUCUUUUCUUCCCCCCACCCCAUCCUUAUCAGAAAGAAUUCAAUUUCACUUGGGAUGGACAGCAGCACACAUUGAUGAGCCUGCCCAAGGGCUCUGUUACCUCUUCUGCCCUCUGUCAUAAUAUAGUCCAAAGGGACCUACCUCACCUGGAGAUCCCUCAGAACACCCUUGGUGUGCUGCAUUGAGGAGAUCAUGUAAUCGGAACAGAGGAUCGAGAAGUUGCAAGUGUGAUAGAGACGUUAAUAAGACACAAGCACUCCAGAGGGUGGAAGAUAAAUCCUAUGACAGCUCAGGCACCCACCAGACUGGGCAAGCAUUCAGGGGUCCAGUGGUGUGGGGGCAUGCCAGAACAGCCCCUCCGAUGUAAAGAGUACAUUAGAGAAUUAAUGGAGCGGGUACCCUGAGAGGAUGGGGGGUCAUCCUCCAAGAGUCACUACGUACCCUGGCACCCUAAGUCAAUGGGCAUCAUAUGGUACUGUGUCCCCAUUAGAGAGAAUACACACUCUGGAAACCAAAGAGGGAGAGCCAGAGUGGCCCUACUUACUGUCACUUCUGGGAACACAGUUGGAGAAUUUCAUGUCCCAUCCCCACACUGCAGGUUUAGAAAUCCUGGUUUCCAGAAAAGAAAACACUUCCACCAGUGACACAGUGACGAUUCCAUUAAACCCCAAGCUGCGGCUGCUGCCUGGUCACUUUGGGCUCCUCAUGCCCAGAGGCCAGCAGGAAAGGAGAGGAGUCACCUUCUCAGCUGAGGUCAUGGACUGUGGUCAUUGGAAAAAGCCCAGCUGCUGAAACACGAUGGGGGCAGGAAAGAAUAUAUUUGGCACCCAAGCGGUCCACAGGGGCAUCUCUUCGUUCUCCUGUCCCCAAUUUUGACAAGAAAUGAACAGGUACAUGGAUCAAGAAGGGCAUAGUGAUGAGGGGCACAGACCUUUCAGGGAUAAGGGUCUCAGUCGCCCCACCAUCCAAGCCACCGCCAGUGGAGGUGAUAGCUCAGGGUGAGGGGACGUGAGAAUGGAUGGUGGAGAAGAGGAUGGUGAGUAUCAAUUACACCCUCAAGACCAGCUGAAUAUCAGCCCUCUAACCUUCCCCCUGUAAGAUUCCCCAGGAAAAGAGGCCUAACAGAAUCUGGAGGAGCUGCUUCCAAAACUUAUCCUAUGAAACUAGUGAAUUCGAGCAGCGCAAGGGGCGGUGGACGCUACGUGCACGGCCCAGAUACAUCCUCCCGGCUCCAGCACUGAAGACUCGCACCGCCAGCUCCUGAGGGCUCAUGGCUGAGUCCCCCUCCGGGACUUGCCCUCAGCUGCAGAGAACCCGCUUAGCCAAGGUCAAGUUCUGUCCACAAGGGCAACUCGCAGUCAAUGACUGGUCACUGUGGCCCCACAGCCUCGCCCCCAUUUAGGUCAACUCAGAAGACCUUGGAAGAACCCAGAGCUCUCCAUAGGAUGGACUGAGGUCUUGGUCACAACUGAAUCACGUUCAAACUCUCCCUCUGGGGACAACCUGCUCUCUUCACUCCACUAGAGGCCUUGAUCCCAAGAGCCCUCUCCAGCAAGCCUGGAUUUGGCAGACAAAUCUAUGCCCAACGUGUUUCCUAGGGACCCACUUGAGACAGAGACCCCCAUCCAACCAGUCUCCACUGAAGGUUCUGGAAUAGGAAUCUCAUCCCACACCAGGGGAGCCAGAAGUAAGAUUUUAUUUUUCUGUUACUUAACCCAGCUUCUAAGGAAGCCCCGUUCUGCUCAGGUGCUGGACGUUUACCCUGGUGUGAAGUUCAAGUUCAGGGGCUCACACUGGAUGGAGGACCCUUGAGGCCCCUCUGGACCUUCCAUCCUUGACACGCCCACCCGCAGCUCUGCCCCAGCCUCGGGAAUCCUUUCUCACCUCCAGAAGAAGCACCGCGGUCCUCAACUCCCUCCCGCCCCAAACUCCUUUUCUCUGCCCCAGAUCUUUUCAGUCCAAAGUUGUGAACAGGCGUGGGACAGGUGUGCCCAUGGAAUUAGCUGCAUUCUAAACUUUUGAUCAUCAACAUUUACAAAUUAAGAAAUCCCACAUGAAAAUCCGUACCUUUCUGCUUCCCUGGAAAGAAGAGAUGAGGUAUCCUUUAAUUCCCCCGAUGGCAACUGAAGCACGAGCUGCCCCCUUCGGCUAGACCGGCUGGCUGUGGUCCUUCCUGCAGUCCAGCUGGCCGCCAGCUUUCCUCGCUCAGCCACUGCCCCCGCCUGGUGCCAGGGCAACUGUUUGCUGCCCUGGGCUCCCUAAGGGCUCGGGGCUGCAGCUUUGGAGAUACAAGUCUGCCAGUCUCUUCUCUUCUGAGGCGAUGGUGGGGAAGGGGUUGCUGGGGGUGAGAGGGAAAGGCCGAGAGAGAAAGCUCCUCGAGGUGGGUCGUGAAGGCUGGAGAGCACUUGGGAAGUGGAAAGAAGAGGAGAGGACAUCCCAGGCCGGGAGAACCAACUGAGCAAAGGCCAGGAGGUAGAACGGGGCUGUCCCCACCGUGAGACGGUGCAGGCGCCUGUCUGAUUGAACCACAGGACCCCAGGUUACGGAGCACUGGGGGAAAGCUUGGCAGGGACACUGGGGACAGAGUACAGACAGUUACCUUGACCUACCCAAAUCCCAAGCUGUGGACGGCCAGAGACACAAAAUCAAUUACUUCUCUGAGAGUUUUGUGUUUCUGAAUGACAUAAGUAGAAGAAAGUGGGUUCACACCAAGCUAUCCUCCAGACCCAGGUCUAUGCCAAACCAAAAGGCAAUUCAACUCAACUGACAAUUUUGGCUAAUAUUUUGUUCAAGGCUCUGUGCUAGGCACAGGGAGGAGGGGAAUAAUGAAGGCCACAGUAGGGAAAACCGGGUGCAAGUUCUCUGACAUUCCUCACAUCAAACGGCGGAAAACAAUUCCCCUUCCUUUGCAUAUGGGUGACCCUUAGCAACUCAAUUCUCAUCAGGAAAAUACAGCAGAACGACACUGUGUGACUCCUGAGGCUAUGUCAUAAAAGGCAAUCGAACUUCCUCCUCUCUAGCGCUCUCUCCCCACCCCCACUCCCCGCCGCCCUCCUCUGAGGGGCCCAGGCCACAGAGAGGGAGGCCAUGUGUGGGUGCUCCAGCCAAUGGGCCCACAUGAGGUCCUAGCCAACAGCCAGGACCAACCACCAGCCGUGGGAGUGAGCGAGCUUUCAGAUGAUUCCUGCCCCAGCCUCUGGCUGUCCCAGCUGUCACCAUAAAGAGGAGUAAAAUAAAGGUGGUGGUUGUUUUAGCCGCUAAGUGUUGGGAUGGUUUGCGAUGCGGUAAUAAGUACCAGACAGAAUUACACAGACCGUGUUGUCAGAGGACAGACUAACCCACCUCUUGACAACAGGCAGCCGAGCACAGUAUCUGGCAGAUCCCAAGUGCUCCUUAGCCAUCAGAUGUUUAUUCUGUUUGUUUUCAGAUGGAACAAGUCAGUUCUAAACUGGUUUUCAAGUACUGAGCUGUGGACACACAGACCACAGACAUGCAGCCCAGGCAGGGGUAAUGAAGGAAGGCCUCACAGAGGUGACAGCAUUUGGGCCACACCUUGGAGGAUGAGGAAGAGAAUUUCAGGACAAAGGGCAGCACAGAUCCCAGACACUGGGAGCUAGAAGGGGCCUGGGGGCCCCCUGGUCAAUCCCAGCCUCCUUGGUUAAGGAUCGGCAGCUCAGAACUCACAUCCUAUCCUGGGUGCUUCCCCUCUUCAGGCUGCCUGCUGCCACCCUCAGCCUGGGCAUCCACCACCACAGUUCUCCUCAGCCCUGCAGGGACGAGGGGUUUGACGUCUGUCCCCUGGAACCGGUCUGUUGACUGAUCGUGGCUGAAUUGUGUGCUCCGAGCUCCUUAUCUCCCUAUUCCGGCCUCAAUCCCUGCUGGGCCCAGCAGUUUCUUCUCACCUACUCACGGCUGAGUCAGCCCUGGAGUUCGUUACUCAGGCCUCAUCAGGCCCUCACUGAUGGACACUUCCUUCUUGUUCCACUGCCAACAUCCGGCUGGUUCUCCACCAGCCUUCCCCGGGGGACUGAGGCUUAGAGGGCAGGUGGUUAGAACCAACUUCCCAGAUAAACAGCCCCGGAGGAUGCUUUUUAAGUUAUAAAAGCAAGAUAAGUACAUUACAGAAAGUGUUAGGAAAUCCAGAAAAAAAUUCACUCACGAUCCCACCACUCCACUCUGAGCUCAUUCUGCUUAUGUUCCUCGUGUAUUUUUUCCAAAACCUACGGUAUUUUUUUAAACCUGUUAUAGUCAUACUUUACAUUUAAUUGUAAACCUGAGUUUUCCAUUUAAUGUUGCAGUGCAUGCUUUUGUCAUAAUUUUCUGUCUUAAUGAGUACACAGUGGCAUCGAGUGGCUGAGCCACAUUUUCUGUGAUCUUUACUCCACUGUUUGCAUUUAGGUGUCUUCCGGCGUUUUGUCUGCAGUAAACGUUUUCCUGCCAAGAGCUUUUUCUGAAAGCAGAAUUGUCUCCUCAGGACAGAUUCCUGGGAGAGAAACGACGGGGUCAGAAGUUGUGGGCAUCUUUAUGGCUCUGGAUAUCCAUCCCUCAUCAAAGAUCAUGGUGACUUUUUUUAUUUUGAAUUGUGAUUCUUGUAGUUGAUGCUGUUAUUGUUACGAAAGGAUUAGAUGAUCGAUGUAGAAAACCUGGAAAAGUCGAAAGAUGCAAAUAAAAAUCUCCCGUAUUUCACCCACCUAAAUGGAAUCCUUAUCAGUAACGUGUUGGUGUAUCUUUUUCCUGUAUUUAUUUUUCUUUAAUGUAAGUUUUAGGGUUUUUUGUUUGUUUCAGUGCAUGCAUGAAUUAACAUAAUUGUGAUGAUACUCUGAAUAAAUUGGAGAUCACAGUUUUC
ensembl:lncRNA